CAGGAGCCUGGCAGGAGGCCGUCUAUGGGGUCGCGCAAAGUCGGACACGACUGAAGCGACUUAGCAGCAGGAGCAGCAGCAAGCAUUUUACCCGUUUGCUCCUCCCACAAUCUUACUUUCUGCUCUCAAGAUUUCUUUUUAUUUUCAUACAAUAGAAAGUGUAAAUUUUACUUUUCUUUCACUAGGGUAACACCAUUUCCCAAGAAAACGAUACAGCUUUGCACAUUAUUUCACAGCCAAAGGAACUACAUCCAUUUGCUGGUACUUUGGGUUCAUUCUGCAAUAGACAACUAGCUUCCAAGCCUCUUCACGGGGUGAACAGUUCUGGUGGCGCCUCUUGAUGACGUGCCUAGUUCGCACGUGCCUGCUUUAAAAAGCCUGAGUCGGCUGCAUGCGCAGCAGCAGGAGGUUGGAGAGACACUAGGCCAAGGCUUUGCGUGGCUUUGCACCCACUGGGACCUCAACCCGAAGGGGCUCCCAAGAGGAGUGUGGUCCGUGUGUGGGGCUUCCUGUGCAACAGCUCUGACUUAGUGGAGGUUUCGUGGUUAGAAACCACCAUUUUCCUUAGAAAAGCCGUUGCCAUUUUAUGGGUGAAUCUGUGCGGUCAGCGGCGGCCCUGCUGACAGCUUUUGGAAGCCACCCACACUGGAGGAUUCGCAACUUGCCUGCCAGCUACUGUUCCUGUGAAUUUGACUUCUCCAGAAAUUAAGCAGCAUUUGAAGAAGCAAAAUGGAUCAUGAAGAAUGCUGGAAGAAAUAAGGCCUCCAUUCUGGUCCCAGAUGCAGCAGCAUUAGCCAGGAAGGAAGGACAACUUCCAAGGAAUAAGAACUUCCUUAGGCAAUGGAAGUCAGUGGAGGGUGCUUCAUAGGAGAGGACGUGGACAGAUGGAUAUAGAAAACAGUCCAAGUAAGGACACAAUGAGAAGAGGGCCGUCUGCAAACCAGGAAGAAGAGUCUCACUGGAAGCAAAUCCUGUGGGCACCUGGCUCCUGUAUUUUGAGGCUCCAGAAUUGACUUCCAAAACCAUGUUGAAUCAAAGUGGUGACAAUGGACACCCUUGCCUUGUUCCAGAUCUUAGAGGGAAUGCUUUCAGCUUUUCACCAUUGGGAAUGAUGUCAGCUAUGAAUUUGUCAUAUAUGGCCUUUAUUAUGUUGAGGUCUUUAAUUGAGCAGUAAGAAGUAGUGUUCCAAAUUAAAAGGCAAUCACCACUGUGAAAGAAAUCCUCCAGCACAACCUAAACUCCUGGAAAGUCACAUGGACAUGUUCUUUCAAUGGAAGUAAACAUGCCACCUAAAACAUCAUGUGUAAUUCAACUCAAACAAUGACUCUUCAAGGGAUUUUGAAUAUAGAGAAAUACUUGAUUCCAUUCCUAAAAAACUGAUGGUGUAGGUAUGUGGAGGGAGGAGGGCGGAGGGUUCAGGAUGGGGAA